rnacentral:tRNA from 1 species
GGGAAUGUCGUCUAAAGGUCAAGACUUUAUCCUUUUAAGUUAAAUAUAUUGGUUCAAUUCCAAUCAUUCCUAC